UAUCUUGACCCCAGUACUGGGGAAGGUGGCAGAUGGUCUGCAGAGAUAGGAGGGCCCAUAGCACUCUCUUGGUUAGCAAGCUCCAGGUAAGCUCCCACCUCAGCAGCAGUGAAUGUCUCAAAAACUAGGGUGGGAGGCAGCCGAGGGAGAUAGCCAUACACAUGUGCAUACACACACACACACAGGCAUCACACAAAAACAGAAUACUUGUGCUAAAUGAAUGAAGACUGGGAGACCAGUUUACAGUUUGCAUUUUCUGAUAUCUUUUAUUCAUGCCUAGGUGAUGGACUACCUGGACUAUUCAACAAAUGAAGAAAACCCAGCAGCUACUGACGAGCAGAUUGUACAACAGUAAUACGUGGACUUAUAAUGAUGUGUUUUUGAUUUUCUACAAAUAGAUUUUGGCCUUUUUUGUCUUUUUUUCUUUUUCUUUUUUGUUCUUGGAGACAAGAGUCAGGACUGGAGUUCAAUCCCCUGCCUUUGCCUCCCAAAGGUUUGGGACUAUAGCUGGGUAACACCACACCCAGCAAGAUUUGAGUCAAAGUUUGGAUUGAAAACUGGGAACAUUUACAGCGAUGUUUGCAAACCCAUAUGUUUUUAUGAGCUGGUGAAAUCCCAUGCUACAUAGUGAAAAUGCAUUUUCUUUUAAUUAUGUUAAAGUUGUGCCUUCACAAUCAGUUAAAAACAUAGGGUUUAUGUAGUUUCCAAAAUGUAUUAUAUACAUUAUAUUUUUCUAAAAAAGAAAAAAAAAAAAGCUACCCUGACCUUCCUUUGUACUUUUCUUACUGAAAUAUUUCUCCAAAUUCUAAGGAUAGAUCAUGUAUAAUUGUCAUAGCAAGUUUCUGUUUUUGUUAAAAAUUUAUGCAAUUUUUUUUUUUUUGGUUCUUUUUUUUCGGAGCUGGGGACCGAACCCAGGGCCUUGCACUUCCUAGGCAAGCACUCUACCACUGAGCUAAAUCCCCAACCCCGAUUUAUGCAAUUCUUAACCCCUCUACAGAAAUAAAUACUUAAGACUGCAAGAAGGCAGUUCAGCAGUGAAUGUUAGUCUAAGUUUUUAAAAAUUUGUAACUCCCUUUUAAACCUGAGGACCUAAAUUAUUUCAUCUGCAUACACAUAUCGUUAGACUAAUUUUUAGAUAGGAGGACACAAAAGCUGAACCUAGUUUCUGCCGGUACAUGGUUUAUCUGAAGAUACUCAUUAAACUUCUGCAUUUACUUUUAAGUUUUAUUUUUUUCUGAUCUUUGAUCUUUGAUUCCAUUGAUUGGGUAAGAUUUCUUCUUUUGAAUGUUUUUCUUAUGUGACCAGACAUAAUGUAUUAUUUGCCGUGCCAUCCUGACAAUCCCCACAUCACCACUGACUCCUGAGUUCCAGCACAUUUGUAUAAGUGAGUGCUGCCAAAAGCAAACAUACUUUUUUCAUCCCUUGUCUCACCUCCAAGAUGAGUGGUCAGAGCAGUUAGCUUACAACCUGGAAAAAAAAAAUUUCCUUCUGGUUCUUUGCAAAAUCUCAGGUGUUUUUCUAGAAAUUAGAGGUGAAAAUUAUUUUUCAGUUUUUUUUUUAAUUUCUCUAAAGAAAGUACCAGGUGACAAGUUAUUGCAGAAGUUCAGGAUUUUGUAUUUCUGUAUAAAUCCUGCUGCACAGGAGAUGUGAGCAAGUCCAGCCUUCCAUGUUAAGGCUGAUUCAGCUUUUCAAAGUAAAAGGUGUAUUGAAAAUGGGUUAGACCUUUGAGAUUUGAACUAAAGUUCACAUUAAAUGCUUCUUGUUUAAUUGUUAACUUUUACUGAGUAAAUGACAAAUAAGAGGGACUGCCAGCCCCUUCAUUCUUCUAGGUAUAGGUGUGGGGUCUUUUGUUUACAGAAAAGAGCUGUCUGGAGGAGAUAAGUGCCAUUUACACUUCUAACUGUGCUUUCACUUAAAAUGUCAGUAAAUACCUGCCAAACACAGCUGUUAGGAAAACAUCCGCAUUCUCUUCAAGUCGAUGUUCAAAAGCACCAGUUACAAUUUUACAAAGAACGCUAAUGAAAAUUAUUCUUUCUAAAGCCACAUUGAAAUAAAACAAUUUCUCAAAAUAAUUUGGUUUUAUUAAUCUGUAGCUAAUUCUUAAUUAUCUAAUCUAAACUUCUGCUCCAGGAAAACAUGAGCACAUCUGCAAAUCUGAAUUCUGACUUAUUUGAAACAUUUUCUAUUUUACCCAACCAUCAUAUUGUUGUAAUUAAAGUCUUAUAUGUGGGCUGGAGUGUAGCUCAGUGUUUGAGUACUUGCCUGCCAUCUUCAAAGUGCCUUCCCGAGCACUGCCAUUGAAACAACUUACUAAGUAGCUAUAAAUAACAGAAAGAAUUUCCUAGAGUUCUACUCUCUACCCUCACUGCCAAUUUCAUGUGUACUUAAACAGCCCUCCUAGCAACACAGUUGAAAAGAUCUUCAUAGAGAAAAUAUAAUACAGAAAUACUUUGUCUUGGAAAUCAAAAUGAAUAGAUACCAGAGUUGAAAAUUUGGCUCUGAAAAUGUGUUAUCUCUUCCUUUCUUGUUAACCUAACACCAAUAACUUUUAAGAGGUAGAGAAGAUGGAAUUUUUCCCCCUUGAACAUGCUUUUAAAACAAAGUAUAUUGUAUUUAUUAGUACUUAUUGCAAAAUAAAAUACUUUCUAGAAAGUUCCACACUUGUGGCUUAUCGAAUAGAAAUCACUGAUCUGUUUGUUUGUCUGUUUGGUUUUAAGACAGGGUCUCUCCGUGUAGCCCUGGCUGUCCUGGAACUCACUCUAUAGACCAGGCUGUCCUCCAACUCAGAGAUCCACCUGCCUCUGUGCCGGGAUUAAAGGUGUGUGCCACCGACGCCUGGCGAAAUCAUUAAUCAUAAAUGCAUUUUUAUUUUCUUCUAGCUUGUAGCUACCUUUGAUUCACGAUUAUACUUUAUACUAGAGUGUGAUUUAAUGCCCUUUUGAAGGAAAUACUUUUCUCCCAUAUGCUUCUGGCAUUCACGUAUUUUAUUUACAUGUGCUUACAAGUUUGAGUAGAGUGGCAUGUUUGUAAUAACUAUCAGUGAGCUUUCUAAAUUCCUUUGCUCUUUUAAUGUCUACAUUUCUAAAACUAUUUUCCUCAAGUUCUACUCCAGGCAGAGGUAGGCUUUCCUUUACAUUGGGUGAGAAUACAUCUAGUCUAUUCAACGGAUUCUCUAGAACUCCCUUUGAUUCCUGUCAGUGACCCUUCAGAGAUGGCAGGUGUACUCCUGAUGGGAAGAGUACACUAGUUAAAGAAGCUUUUGUAGUUUUCUAUAAAUGAGAAAGGUAGGUUGGAUCAACUCAAGGUUGUAGUGAAUGAUCAGUUCACCACAUAGUAGGUUUGACUAGACAGUAAAAAUACUAUAAACAGCUUUCCUAUUCCUUUAAAAUAUACAUUAAAAAAUGCCUAGUGUACAUCUGGUUUGUCUGCAACUUCCCCAUAGGACAGUGAGUGUAAAUUCAGUAGCUUUUGUCCACUUUUCUCCCUUCUACAUUGUAUUCAAAUUAGUACCUUUUUAAGAAUGCAUAAUUGUAUUGUAUUACUUCUUAGAUGAUUGGUUUGAAUAUGAGAUUCUUUUUCUAACACUUUUCUAGGUAAGUUAGUAUAAAUUAAUAUUUUUAUAACACUAUUAGAAUUUUUAUGGAACAUGAUUUAAAACUUAAAUUUUUGGAGUGUUAAUUUAGCAGUAAGUUAAGAUCUUUUUAUCAUGUGCCAAUUCUGACAAGAAAAACAACAACAAAAAGACCUUCCAGUGUAUUAAAUUUACUGCUGUGUUCAAUAAAUUCUAUUUUAAAAUAAAAAUG
rnacentral:lncRNA from 1 species